rnacentral:rRNA from 1 species
AAACACGCUGGCGGCGUGCCUAACACAUGCAAGUCGAACGGGAAAACAGGGGCAACUCUGUGAGUACAGUGGCGUACGGGUGAGUAACACGUGACUACCUACCCUCGAGUGGGGGAUAACCCCGGGAAACCGGGGCUAAUACCGCAUAACAUCGCAAGAUCAAAGGAGUAAUCCGCUUGAGGAGGGGGUCGCGGCUGAUUAGCUAGUUGGUGAGGUAACGGCCCACCAAGGCGAUGAUCGGUAGCCGGCCUGAGAGGGCGCACGGCCACACUGGAACUGAAACACGGUCCAGACUCCUACGGGAGGCAGCAGUGGGGAAUUUUGCGCAAUGGGGGAAACCCUGACGCAGCAACGCCGCGUGGAGGAUGAAGUCCCUUGGGACGUAAACUCCUUUCGACCCGGACGAUAAUGACGGUACGGGUGGAAGAAGCACCGGCUAACUUCGUGCCAGCAGCCGCGGUAAUACGAGGGGUGCGAGCGUUGUUCGGAAUUAUUGGGCGUAAAGGGCGCGUAGCGGUGCGGUAAGUCACCUGUGAAAUCUCCCGGCUUACUGGGAGCUUGCAGGCGAAACUGCCGUGCUGGA